UGAUCCUGGCUCAGAACGAACGCUGGCGGCAUGCCUAAUACAUGCAAGUCGAACGAGACCUUCGGGUCUAGUGGCGCACGGGUGCGUAACGCGUGGGAAUCUGCCCUUGGGUUCGGAAUAACAUCGGGAAACUGAUGCUAAUACCGGAUGAUGUCGAUAAGACCAAAGAUUUAUCGCCCAGGGAUGAGCCCGCGUAGGAUUAGCUAGUUGGUGGGGUAAAGGCUUACCAAGGCGACGAUCCUUAGCUGGUCUGAGAGGAUGAUCAGCCACACUGGGACUGAGACACGGCCCAGACUCCUACGGGAGGCAGCAGUAGGGAAUAUUGGACAAUGGGCGCAAGCCUGAUCCAGCAAUGCCGCGUGAGUGAUGAAGGCCUUAGGGUUGU
rnacentral:rRNA from 1 species